UACAGAGGUCUCAAGCGUUGUCCGGAAUUACUGGGCGUAAAGCGCGUGUAGGUGGUGGGACAAGUCUGCUGUGAAAGCGCCUGGCUUAACCGGGCGAGGUCGGCGGAAACUGUCCGACUCGAGGACGGUAGAGGGGGGUGGAAUUCCCGGUGUAGUGGUGAAAUGCGUAGAGAUCGGGAGGAACACCUGUGGCGAAGGCGGGUCUCUGGGCCGAUAUUGACGCUGAGGAGCGAAAGCGUGGGGAGCGAACAGG
rnacentral:rRNA from 1 species